rnacentral:rRNA from 1 species
UACAGAGGGGGCAAGCGUUGUUCGGAAUUACUGGGCGUAAAGGGCGCGUAGGCGGCCGUUUGCGUCGGAUGUGAAAGCCCGGGGCUCAACCCCGGAACGGCAUCCGAUACGGGACGGCUGGAGACCGGGAGAGGAGGGUGGAAUAGCCAGUGUAGAGGUGAAAUUCGUAGAUAUUGGCUGGAACACCGGUGGCGAAAGCGGCUCUCUGGCCCGGUUCUGACGCUGAGGCGCGAAAGCUAGGGGAGCAAACAGG